rnacentral:tRNA from 2 species
GUCCCUGUAGCUUAUCGACAAAGCAUGGCACUGAAGAUGCCAAGACGGCCCCACACACCCAAGGACA